GUCUCAGUUUCCUCGCCUAUAAAAUGGGGUAAGAAUGGGGUCACCCCCUAGGGCUGCGAUGACAAUUGCAUGAGUUAAUAUAUGGAAAAUGCUAAAAGCAGUGCCCAGGACAUAGUAAGCACCCAACAAACGGUAAGAUAUUCUUUAUUAUUUUAAUUUUAUAGCUAUUAAAACGAAUUGUGGGCCAGUGAGGAGAAGUGAUUUAGUCAGCGCCUCGGUUUUCAUAAACAACGGAGCAGACAUUUACAAAGGAUGCACACCAAGCCAUCAAGUGUCUUUGGCAAGGGGCGUGGAUUUGGGAAAGAGAGAGGGCCUCGGUAAAGUGACAGCGUUCUCUUUACUCAAGCAUCUGAUAAAAUCUGGAAAAUAUCAGGGAGGAUCCGAGGGUUCCGUCACCUUCUUCUCCUUAGUGGCAGAAAAAAAAAAGAAAAAGAAAAAGAAAAAGAAAAAAAAGAAAAUCACUGCAUUUUUAACAAAACUGUCAGGAGCUGAUUAUAUAGUUUGUAGCCCAUCCUUUCCGACUCCUUGCAUUUGACCGUUUUUCUGCACAUUGUCACGGAGCCCAAAGAAACAAACAAAGAGAUGUUGUAAGCCGAAGUUGCUGCUCCUUAAAAGCAAUACAAAAUGAUAAUAAUAAUAAUAGAGAAUGUCUUUUGAGCCUUUGCUAUGCGUCAAGUACUUUACCAAGAUCACUGGUUGAGGGGUGAGGGUGGUUCUGCCCCACAGGGAACAUUUGGCAAUGCCUGGAGAUAUUCACU
rnacentral:lncRNA from 1 species